AUGGCCACAGCCACAAGAUUCUCAACACAACAAUAGAUAAAACAUCCAAUGAAAUGCAGCAGUGUGACAAUGUCCACGUUCAUCUUUCUUUCUCUGCGAUCGCUCUGCCAUGGCCAUGGCCUUCUGUUUGCCAAUUCGACCUCUCUUCACUCAUAAGCCCUCUCUUUCAUACACGCAUAAAACCCAUUUGAAGGCUUCCCGAGUUCUCUUCUCCUCUACUCGCACUACCCCAUUGCUGGUUUCAUCAUUCACUGCCAAUUUACAGGCCUUAUUCCAUAACCCAACUUCUUCUUCCUCUGUUUCCAAGCUCAGGCUCAUUCCCAAGGUUGGUGGUGAUCGGGCUGAUUAUUCAUCUGGGGAGGAACAAACCAAGUCGGUUGAUUCUGAAGCAGCCAAUGAAGAAGAGUUUUCUUGGUCUUCUGUCAUUUUGCCGUUCUUGUUCCCUGCCUUGGGAGGUUUGUUGUUUGGAUAUGACAUUGGUGCCACAUCUGGAGCUACCCUCUCAUUGCAGUCACCGGAGCUUAGUGGCACCAGUUGGUUUAACCUUUCUGCCGUUCAACUUGGUCUUGUGGUUAGUGGCUCUUUGUAUGGAGCACUUCUUGGUUCCUUCCUUGUGUACCCAAUUGCAGACUUUCUCGGACGAAGGAGGGAACUAAUUAUAGCAGCUGUACUAUAUGCCCUUGGUAGCCUGACCACUGCUUAUAGCCCUGAUCUGGGCGUUCUUCUGGCGGGAAGGCUUCUCUACGGCCUUGGUAUUGGUCUGGCCAUGCAUGGGGCUCCACUUUAUAUAGCCGAAACGUGUCCGUCCAAGAUUCGAGGAACUUUAGUAUCUUUAAAGGAACUGUUUAUAGUGCUAGGAAUUUUGAUGGGGUAUUUAGUUGGAAGUCUUCAGAUUAAUGCAGUUGGAGGAUGGCGAUACAUGUAUGGACUUAGUGCACCGGUUGCUUCAUUGAUGGGAUUAGGAAUGUGGCUUCUCCCGCCAUCGCCUCGUUGGUUACUUCUUAGGGCCGUUCAAGGUAAAGCGACUUCACAGGAUUCCAAAGAGAGAGCAAUUGUGGCCUUGAGUAAACUUAGAGGACGACCUCCUGGUGAUAAAGUAUCCGAGAAGCAAAUAGAAGCAACAUUUCUCUCCCUGAAAUCUGCCUAUUCAGAGCAGGAAUCUGAAGGGAGUAUUUGGGAGGUCUUUCAAGGCCCGAGUUUGAAAGCCUUCAUAAUUGGUGGAGGUUUGGUUCUCUUUCAGCAGAUAACUGGACAGCCGAGUGUUCUAUAUUAUGCAGGUCCCAUUCUUCAGAAUGCAGGAUUUGCUGCUGCCUCUGACGCUACUAGAGUCUCAGUUGUUAUUGGGGUGUUUAAGUUGCUUAUGACGUGGGUAGCUGUUCUAAAAGUCGAUGAUCUUGGAAGAAGACCCUUGCUCAUUGGAGGUGUUAGUGGAAUUGCGCUUUCCUUGCUUCUUCUUUCGGCUUACUACAAAUUUCUUGGUGGGUUCCCCAUUGUCGCUGUAGCUGCCCUGCUUUUGUAUGUAGGUUGUUAUCAGAUAUCCUUUGGACCAAUCAGUUGGCUUAUGGUGUCUGAAAUAUUUCCACUUCGAACUAGAGGGAAAGGAAUCAGUCUUGCAGUUCUUACUAAUUUUGGUUCAAAUGCUAUUGUCACAUUUGCAUUUUCACCUCUGAAGGAAUUGCUUGGAGCAGAAAACCUUUUCCUUCUUUUUGGUGCCAUUGCAUUGCUUUCACUUCUUUUUGUAGCUCUUCAAGUUCCCGAGACCAAAGGUCUAAGUCUAGAAGAAAUAGAAUCCAAAAUCUUGAAGUGAUAUACAUGCAGCGGCCAAAUUCUCCUUCAUGAGAUUUCAGUAAUAAACAUAUGUUUGCAGCGGUUGAAUUGCCCAACAUUUGCAGAAUCACUGCAACAUAUAUCUCACUUGGAGAUGCUGACACGACGGGGAUCUGUCAAAUAUGCAAAUAUAGAGUGGCUAAAAAACAACUGUCUCAAAUUGAAUAGGGUGUAAAAGUAGAAACAGGAAGUUGCAAUAACUCACCUCUAUGAGUGGUGGUAAAGAUUGGCGCGCUCGUUGAAGAUUUUGGAGCUAAAUGUGCAACCAUUGGUUGUGGUGUCGCCUCCGUUGGUAAUGAAGGUU